rnacentral:rRNA from 2 species
GGCUAAUACCGGAUAACAUUUUGAACCGCAUGGUUCGAAAUUGAAAGGCGGCUUCGGCUGUCACUUAUGGAUGGACCCGCGUCGCAAUAGCUAGUUGGUGAGGUAACGGCUCACCAAGGCAACGAUGCGUAGCCCACCUGAGAGGGUGAUCGGCCACACUGGGACUGAGACACGGCCCAGACUCCUACGGGAGGCAGCAGUAGGGAAUCUUCCGCAAUGGACGAAAGUCUGACGGAGCAACGCCGCGUGAGUGAUGAAGGCUUUCGGGUCGUAAAACUCUGUUGUUAGGGAAGAACAAGUGCUAGUUGAAUAAGCUGGCACCUUGACGGUACCUAACCAGAAAGCCACGGCUAACUACGUGCCAGCAGCCGCGGUAAUACGUAGGUGGCAAGCGUUAUCCGGAAUUAUUGGGCGUAAAGCGCGCGCAGGUGGUUUCUUAAGUCUGAUGUGAAAGCCCACGGCUCAACCGUGGAGGGUCAUUGGAAACUGGGAGACUUGAGUGCAGAAGAGGAAAGUGGAAUUCCAUGUGUAGCGGUGAAAUGCGUAGAGAUAUGGAGGAACACCAGUGGCGAACGCGACUUUCUGGUCUGUAACUGACACUGAGGCGCGAAAGCGUGGGGAGCACACAGGAUUAGAUACUCUGGUAGUCCACGCCGUACACGAUGAGUGCUAAGUGUUAGAGGGUUUCCGCCCUUUAGUGCUGAAGUUAACGCACUAAGCACUCCGCCUGGGGAGUACGGCCGCAAGGCUG